ACGGGUGAGUAAUAUAUGAGAAUCUGCCUUUUAGUGGAGAAUACCUUCGAGAAAUUGAAGUUAAUACUGCAUAUGUCCUUCGGGAGAAAGAUGGCCUCUUUGCUGUCGCUAAAAGAUGAGCUCAUACACUAUCAGCUAGUUGGUGGGGUAAAGGCCUACCAAGGCUAUGACGGUUAGCCGGCCUGAGAGGGUGUACGGCCACACUGGAACUUAGACACGGUCCAGACUCCUACGGGAGGCAGCAGUGGGGAAUAUUGCGCAAUGGGCGAAAGCCUGACGCAGCGACGCCGCGUGAAGGAUGAAGGUCUUAGGAUUGUAAACUUCUGUUAAGUGGGAAGAAAAGUCUGUAAUUAAUACCUACGGAAAAUGACGGUACCAUUAGAGAAAGCACCGGCUAACUUCGUGCCAGCAGCCGCGGUAAUACGAAGGGUGCGAACGUUAUUCGGAAUUAUUGGGCGUAAAGGGUGUGUAGACGGUAUAUUAAGUCUGGUGUUAAAUCUUUCGGCCUAACCGAAAAUCUGCAGUAGAUACUGAUGUGCUAGAGGGUGGAAGAGAGAAGUGGAAUUCUCGGAGUAGCGGUAAAAUGC
rnacentral:rRNA from 1 species